AGCACCUAAUAUACGUUGACUGCUGGGCUGCCCAUGCAUCUGACAUGGCUGAUCAGACAAAUGUGGCCUACACAGACCUGGUCACAAGCAUGUGAAAUCAAGGUCUCCUAAAUCCCAUGCAAGCUCAGAACCUCACAACUCUGUGCUGUCUUAUUCUGUACGGGGAACUGAGAAAGAGGGAACAUCUCAAAAUGCAGCAGUACUACGGGGGCAGGUCUGCUGCUGCUUGGUGUCCUGCAAAUCAUAUGGGGCACACACCACUGUCUCUUGGAAAGUGUCCAGGGCAGUUGUCAAUGUUGCAGAGGCUAAGGCCAAGAUCCUCAAAGGUAUUUAGGCUCCUAACUUCCAUUGCAAUCAGAGAUCUCGGCCUAGAUGCCCAUUGGACGCUAGCAUGUGUAGCGCUAGAAUUAAAAUGCCAGGCUUAAUCUGACCUUCCAUUAGAAGUACCAGGACUCUUUCCUUCACUCAAUCCCCCCUCCAUACCCCCCAGAAUUAGAGGAACCAGGGAUCUUUCACUGAUAAUGAAAGUGGAUUGGGCCUGGGCUUGUCACUUUAUUCUGCAAACUGCAUGAAGGCAAUGGAAGUGUUUCCCCCUCUCUUUCAUGUAUUACAUUUGGGUCUGUUUUGCAUCCUGCAAAUUUUGGAAGUCAGAGCAGCUGGCUAAAUCUCUACAUCUUUCUUGGAUGGCCAGUGGGUUACUCCUGGUAUAGUUCCAGGCUGAGAGUACACAAAAAUCCCCCUGCCUUUAACAAGCCAGCAAUUCUGUUAAAGAAAUCCUGAGGAAGAGUCAUGUGCAUGGAAGUGCAUUUGUGCUGUGUUAAGGAGGCAGCGUGGUCUAGUGGUCAGAGCAUGGAAUUUGGAGUUCUGGGGUCUAAUCUUGACUGCCAUUUUCUUACUGUGUAAGCUUACCCUAUCUGUACCUCAGUUUCCACACUGUAAAAUGGGGAUUGUAAUAUUUACUUACCACACAGGGUGAGUUGGGAGGCUCCAUAAAGCUCUUUGAGAUUCUUGGCUGGAAAGUGCUCGAGAAAGGCAAAUAUUUUUACUAUAACACCUUUCAAAGCACUUUAACAAAGCUUAAUUAACAAGAGAACCACUCUCAGAUUAACACCCAUGCUAUCAAUUACAUGUUCAAUUAAUGAAUUUGAAAAAAAAUGUAAUUUUAUUUUUAUUUUUACUUUUUAUACAGUUUUUGGUGUUUGUUUUGUUUUUCAUUUCAUUCAAGUCCUGCAGCCCUUUGUGUGUGUGGGACAGCUUUAAAGAAAUUAUUUCCUUUUCAUUUCUCUUACUUUUCAGUUUUGUAAAGGCUUGUUUCUACAAAAAUCAAACUUUGGGACCUAAUUUCAGCUGCCAGUGUUAUUUUUGAGCCUCAAAACAUCCCUAUGAAGGAGGUAAAUCUUAUUAUCCCCCAUCUUAUCUAUUGGGGAAACCGAGGCCCAGAGAAGCGACACAAUUUUCCCAAGGUUAUACAGUGAAUCAGUGUCAGAGGUCAGAGCAGAAUCAUGUCUCCCCAUUUGUCUGCUCUGUGUGUACUUACUGGGCUGGUUUAGCGAGCCUUUUGCAAAACACCUUAAAGAAAUUGCUUAAAGAAGGUGUAACAAGGUCACUGCUUGUAAAAUGUCUCUCUGCCUCAAGCCUAAAGCUGCACCUUCAAGUGAUGAGCUGAAGAGGGAAUAUGUUCGUUCUCACUUUACAAUUGAUCUGAAGGGAAAACUCCAGUGCAGCACAAAAGAGACUCUAGUGAUUUCAUCUCAUGACAGUGAAGACUCAGCUACUCACACACUUUCUUCCAAUACAGUAAGAAAAGACGAGACUAGUUCACAAUCAGACAGGAAGCUGCCAACUUGUCAGUCUGAAGAUGAAGGGUAAAGCACCGGAAAUGCAGCUCAGUAUCUGGCUGCAGGAGGAAACAGGAGCCGCUCUCAUUUGUUGCAAGGUGUCAGGACAGUUGGUCUUUUACUUAAAGCCUCAGAGCCUGGAGCCCUGUGGUGCUGCGAGAGGAAAAGGACGUUUCUAGCUCUCACUGUCGUGGAGACCCCGGCGUGACCCCAAAGGCUCCGAAGCUGGAAGGCGAAGGAACAGGGCCCACCUGACUGCUGGAACCCCAUGACGCAGCGGGGUGGGGCUGGGGCUGGCACCUGAUUGUUGAAUGUUUGAGGUUGGCCUGGGGUACGACACACUGAAUCGGGGAGUUUUGCCCCUGGGCAGGAGUUCACCCCGAGACGGAGGGAACAAACCCCUGUGGUGAGCGAGCAGCCGCAGUGCCUAUGGCAGAGCUGCCUCUGUGCCCAGCCUCCACACGUGUCACUCGGAGGGGCUGUUCUGCCACCGGGAUACGAGCAAUGCCCGCGGUGAGGGCGAGCAGGGCCCCUUUGGGGAAUGCCCAGGCAAGUCCCCAUUUCCUCCCCACCCCAGGCAGCCAGCGGAUUCCCAGCCACAGACAUUGGCACCAGGGACGGGAGGAGACGAGAGCUCCGCCCAUGCUGGCAGGCCAGGGUCGGGUCGCAGGUGGGGUUCAUGGGAGGUCACCUAGGGUGGGGCUGGGAGGAAUUGGGCACAGACCCAGGGCCCAUGGUUACAUGUUGCCAUGGGGUUCACCUGCCAACUCUCCUCAGGUACCUUCCUCUGCAUGACGGGGCAGGGCCCCGCAGGACACGUGUCAGACUCUGUCAUGCGACACCCAAGACAAAAACAGCAGAAAAGACCUGAGGUGCCUCAGCAGAGCCGGGGGCCCAGGAGAGCAGCCCAUGGCUGCGGCGGAGCCCAGGCGCUGCUGGCAGGGCUGUGUGCAUGUGAUGUCACGCUGGUGCCAUGAACGGGAGCAGGAAUCGCGACUGGGCUGAGGCAGAGCUGUGGGCACAGAGGCCCUGUGUUCUCUCCGGGAACAAAGCAACUGGCAGCUCGCUCCAGUCUGGCAGCCUUGACGGGAGAGAUGGGGACAAGUCACAGCAGAGUUUGAAUGGGAAGGAGAAAUCAGGGCAGGCUUUAUAGGCGGCAAACCUGGUGCACAGGCCAAGGUGCUGCUGCGGCAGGGGGCUCUGUACCCACCCCAGGCCCAGCUUUGGAGUCCGGGCGCUAGAGACACGAGUCCAUGGGUGCUGCGGGUGCUCGGUGCUUCUGAACAGCAGCCGCAGAGUCUCAGGCUGGUUCCAAAACGCAGUGGCCACUUUUGAAAGUUUGCCUGUAAGUGAUUUUACCCAGGGGGGCUCCAGCAGCACUGGGCAGAGAACCCAGGAGUCCUGAUGCCCAGGUCCCUGCUCGAAUUGCUAGAGCCACAUUCCCCGCCUAUAACACUAGACACUUUCACUAGCUCUUGGGGCUCCCAGUGUUUUGUGUAGCUCCAUGUGCAAUAUUGUGAUGCAAAUUAAUGAGCUAAUCUGCAUAUUUGUAAAGACUAUAUAUAACCAUAAGCCUCAGCAGCAGUGAUUGUGUUGCUGAUAAAAGGUCUUGGUCUACAUGGUCCCCGGGGAAGGGCUCCCCUGGCAGGAAUGGCCGUGGCUCCCCCCUCAGAGCCAGGUGGGGGCCGCAAGGGACCCCGGGUCACAGUAGUGGGGAGACACGACCACGUGCCGGGCUGGAGAGUGGCGCCAGGGAGCCAGCUGUGGGCACCUAGCAGUGGCCUUCAGACCAUCCCCCCAAGUGGGUUAUUGACCCAGCCUGUGCUGAGCCCCCCUGCGCCAUGACCCCACCUGUGAUUACAUGGCCACACAGUAGGCGUCAAAGAUCACCUGGGGCAGGCAGACAGGGGCCCCCCGCGUGGUGUCUGGAGUCCGGAGGAUAAAGGUCUCUGUGAAUCCAGGGCAGGCAGGACGCAAAGCACAAGUGAACCAGUGCAGGGGUGGGAAAGAGCAGAGGAAAGUUCUGUGAAAGCAGCAGGGGAAGGAGGCGCAAACACGCCCAGGCCCCUCGGCAGAAAGAAGAACUAUAAGUGUCUAGAUAUAAAUGCAAGACGCAUUUCCCAGGGAAACUCCCCCUCCCAAAGUCCCCCCUCCUUGGCUGAGCUUGUGCCCAGGGACCAUUUCGCUCCAGGGCUGUUUGCGACAGUGCCGCAGUGGGACGUCCAUUUCCCCGUCACCCAGCCAAGCAGCUCCAGGGGUUCGAGGUGGGUGACACAUUUGAGCAUGAACAUUUUUCAGUCUAAAAACGCUGUUUUGCUAUAGAAACAUUUCUUGGGAACGUGUUGACAUCAAUGUUUUUCAGUGGGAAAAAUGGUGUUUUGAUUCAUUUCAUUUUUCCUUUUAUAUUGCACUGGAAGAUUCAUUGUAAUAUUCUGUUUAACAGUCUGUACAUGU